rnacentral:misc_RNA from 1 species
AGAAAGGCCACCGACGUCAAGCUCCCAGGUUCUUCCAUCCCCAACCCAUCCAUCUCCUUGUUUGGUUGGAUAUCCAUAGUCUGCCCAUAUUGGAUGAGGCAGCAACUGAAGUAGCUCCUGUGCCUGGGGAUUACUGUAAGGAUCACAAGUGCUAUAUGGCUUUUCCAAGUGCUCGGCAUUCCCAGGCGCACAGUAAUAGUGAUAAGCUGAGUAAGGGAAGUGAGAGGUGUUAUUCCUGUAGAUUUUUGUAUUGUUUGGUGUGAUGUGGAAAGGUGGGCAGUUGCCGAUAUUUGUGGGGCUGCACCAAGCUGCAGUUUCUGGAUUAAUGAUCAUUUCACUGUAUCUGGUAACAUCAGUGAG